GCUGUGCUCUUCUAAGUGGGACUCCGAGCCUGGGCUAUUUCUGGCGCUGGCGCGGCUCCAGGAAGGCAUCCGCAUUUGCGACCAGGGGCGGCUGCGGUGGAGACUGGCCUGUCCUCAGCGCCCAGCACCGCUGCUCCCGGCAAACCGGAGCAUGCACCGCAGGCCAGCGGCCGAGUUCGCCCAUCCCAGCCAUCACUUUUCCAACUAGUCCUUAGAGAAGGGAAGAUGAGCGAGUCGAGCUCGAAGUCCAGCCAGCCCUUGGCCUCCAAGCAGAAAAAGGACGGCACUGAGAAGCGGGGCCGUGGCAGGCCGCGCAAGCAGCCUCCGAAGGAGCUCAGCGAAGUGCCAACACCUAAGAGACCUCGGGGCCGACCAAAGGGAAGCAAAAACAAGGGUGCUGCCAAGACCGGGAAAACCACCACAACUCUGGGAAGGAAACCAAGGGGAAGACCCAAAAAACUGGAGAAGGAGGAAGAGAAGGGCAUCUCGCAGGAGUCCUCACUGGAGGAGCAGCUUCCUUCUGGGACUGGACAGCUUUGAUCUGCUCCCAACCCCCCACCUCCCACCCCCCACCCCUUCCCUACACCCACCAUCACCACCGCCUCCAGCCACCACCCUCAUCUUCCACCUGCACCUUCACCACCACACUACACAACACACCAGCCGCUGCAGGUCCCUAUGGGCUGAGUGGAGAGGACUUUUCCCCUGGCCUCUUCCCAUCCCUACCCCCUCCUCCCCCCGUCCACCCACUCAUACACAUGUGCCCUCCUGGACAAGGCUAAUGUCCUGCUUAGCCGCACCCUGCACCUGCUGCGUCCCUGAUCCCUUGGUGGUGACAUUGCUCUCUGGGCUUUUGGUUUGGGAGCCACUUCUCUGCUCCUCCACUGUUGCCUCUGGCUUCCCAUAGAGGGGCCUGGGAGGGUUCCCCUGGUCUUAAAAGGGGCCCAAGCCCCCAUUCUGGCACACCCCACUC
rnacentral:lncRNA from 1 species